rnacentral:rRNA from 1 species
UACGUAGGGCGCAAGCGUUGUCCGGAAUUAUUGGGCGUAAAGAGCUCGUAGGCGGUCUGUCGCGUCGGAUGUGAAAGCCCGGGGCUUAACCCCGGGUCUGCAUUCGAUACGGGCAGACUAGAGUGUGGUAGGGGAGAUCGGAAUUCCUGGUGUAGCGGUGAAAUGCGCAGAUAUCAGGAGGAACACCGGUGGCGAAGGCGGAUCUUUGGGCCAUUACUGACGCUGAGGAGCGAAAGCGUGGGGAGCGAACAGG